GCGUGGAGCAUGGGCGUAGCGAAGAAGGGCAGGACCAAGCAGCCCAGGGGGAGGCUGCUGCAAUAACCCCUUAAGAGAUCACACGCUCUGCUCUUAGAUGGAGGCGACGAGCUCGUCCUUCACUCUAGGAAAACGAAAACAUGAAACAAGAAUACUCCAUUUGCUAAAAUGAUCACAAUAAUGUUAAAACAGUUAAUUCUUGUUAUUCAUGCUGAGUUAUGCUCUAUAAAGUCUCCGUGAACACAAAUGAGCACUGGAUUAGCAGGUACUGGAUUAGUGGAUACUGGAUUAAUGAGUACUGGGUUAGCAGGUACUGGAUUAGCAAGUACUGGAUUAGCAAGUACUGGAUUAGCAGGUACUGGAUUAGCAAAUAUUGGAUCAGCAGCUACUGGAUUAGCGGGUUCUGGAUUAGUGGAUACUGGAUUAAUGAGUACUGGAUUAGUGGGUACUAGAUUAGCAAGUACGGGAUUAGCGAGUACUGGAUUAUGGAGUACUGAAGCCUUGCCCAAGGGGAAUCACAGGGUUAGGUUCCCGUGUGCCUCUGCUCACAACAUUUUCAUUAGCUGAUCAAUACAUAACCUUGUUUUAUGUCUGUUUCUGUUUACAGACACUUUAU
rnacentral:lncRNA from 1 species